GACGAACGCUGGCGGCGUGCUUAACACAUGCAAGUCGAGCGGAGCGGCGAACGGGGGAGUAACGCGUGAGUAUCUGCCCCCCUCUCUGGGAUAACAGAUGGAAACGGCUGCUAAUACAGGACAGUGGGGGAUGAAUCGCGUCCUAUAAGCUUGUUGAUGGGGUAGUGGCCUACCAAGGCGACGACGGGUAGCCGGCCUGAGAGGGCGACCGGCCACAUUGGGCGGAGAUACGGCCGCAACUCCUAAUGGAGGCCGAAGUGGGGAAUAUUGCACCAUGGGUGAAACCCUGAUGCAGCAACGCCGCGUGCGGGAUGACGGCCUUCGGGUUGUAGACCGCAUUCAGCCAUUACGCGGUAGUGGCAGAAGAAGCACCGGCUAACUUCGUGCCAGCAGGCGCGGGAAAAC
rnacentral:rRNA from 1 species